CUCGCUUAGAAGAGACACGUUCUCUUCGGGCCCCCGCCAGAGUCCCCGGGCCCCCGCAGUGUGAGAUUUGCUGCUCUCAGCACCCAGAUCACGGCUCGGCUGCCCAUAAACACUAGCUGGUGUCGGCGAAGGCUUUGAGGAAAUCACGACGUUCAAGGUGUAACUGACCCAAGCGGAGGAGACGCAGCAUCGGGAGGGAUGGAGAGCCGGGGGGCGGGCUGGGGUUGCUUUAGGGCAACAGAUAAGGUGCUUCCGUUGCUCCAGAAAGCCAGGGUUCUUCCUGUUUAACACUGUGUUUGGCCUUCAGGAGGUGCAUGCCUUGGUUAAUGAAUGAGUGGGUGAACUGUUGAAUAAAAACAAAAUCCACAUCUGCAGUGGAGCAAGUGUUGGAAGCACAUUUCCAUGAGCCGCUGCACUUCCGGCAGAGAAGAGCCACUGCACUUCCGGCAGGGAGUUUCCGUGUGCUGGGCAACUCAUCCCAGAAGCGCUUGAGCUCAUCUGUACCCAAGGCCUUGAACCCUUGUUCCCUCCAGCUGUCACCACAGAGGCCAAGGAAAGCACAGCCUGACCACAUGCCCCAGGCCUGUCCUGUGUCCUCUGGGACCCUCCCUCCCUGGUGCCUCUGAGACAUGACACACUGGGGGGACCUCUCGGUGCCCACCCACAUGCAGCUGUAAAGCACGGAGGAGUGAAUGCCUUGUGCAGGGCAGGAGCUAGUAGAAUCCCUUACAUGUCAUGAAAGGCUCCUAGAAUAUUUUUUCAUCACUUAACUUGGGUACACAAGGAUUAAUACAUUCUCAGCACACAUUUGCACUAUGGAUUAAAAAGUUAAGCAAAGACAAUUGAACUAGAUUUGUUGAUUCAUCUCCCCGUCUAUUUAAACCAACCUGAAAUGUCCGAUGGAUUUCAAAGCUACAAAGGCUGGGGGACAGCAGCGAGUGGCUGUGGAAGGAUUCGGAGCUCCCAGAAGGCUGGACGGAUGCAGACUCCCAGCUUCUUUCAGAAUUCGUCCCCCUCGCGGGGAUCGGGGUGGGGGCAGGGUUUGUAGUUGGUACAAUCUUCUUCCCAGUCUUCUCCACGCUCGUCUCUGCCCCCUCUGUGAACACAGACAGCAAGGUCAUUCAUGCACAUGAGGUCAUUCAAGGUCAUUCAUGUGAGUCAAGGUCAUUCAUUCAUGUGAGGUAAGCAUUCAAGCUGCCAAUGGUGAAUCAAUUCUAUAAACAGUAACUGAGUACCGACAGAGUCUUUGCUCCUGGGUCAUGAUCUGGGGUGGUGGGGAAGGAGUAGAUUCGUGGAGGCAGUUGGGUCUUCUAGCUGCAUAAGGCCCUUGGAAAGAGGUACAGAUGUAAGUGCUGGAGGGGCUCAGAGAAAAAGCCUCCCCACAAGGCCAGGUGGUCCUGGAAAGGCGAGGGUAAAAGGAGUCUGUGAUGUGGGAACGCGGAGAGCGCGUGACCGUGGGAAACAUGGUGAGAGAUGUUCUGUGAUGGGGUAAGAGUGGGACUGUCUGGGGGGCAGAGGGGCAGGACAAUCCAGUGGGACCCUGGGAAUGGCCCCCUUAUUCCAGAUCCAAAGGAUUCCGUCUGUGGCUGCCUUUGGCAGAGCGAAACAGAUUAAAUUUUCUUGGACCAAGUGAUCUCCACAGACAGACACCUUCGCUACCCAAUCACCCAGAUUGAGGGUGUCUCCACUGCCUGCUCUUCCCUACACUGCAAGGAUCAACCCAUAGCCAGGAGCCCUCACUGGAUCCACAGAUGAGAUUGGUAUUUUGCUCCUAAUAUGAUGUUGGCCUUACACCAAAAUAGCCUUUGCCUGAAUUCUGACUCUUCUCCCCAGUUGUGGGGAAGAAGUGCGCUGUCACUGGAGGCGGGAGGGUAAGGUGGUGUUGGGAGACUGGGAGGGGAAGAGAAGGCCCUCUGUCCCAAUUCAACAGCAAUCUACGACCCAAACUUGGAGCACAGAGAGGCAGUUGUCUCUUCUUGGCACAUCUAUUUUUUUUCCUUUUUCCUUUUUCAUUGAAGCAUAGUGUAUUCACAAUGUUGGGUUAGUUUCUGGUGUAUUUCAAAGUGAUUCAGUUAUUAUUCUAAGAGAUGAAAGUCUGGCUGGAAACUGAGGAUUCAGGUUUUAAGAAUGGCUGAAAGCAACCACCUAUGUCUCAGAAAGAGGCAAUGAAGGAUCCACUCUUUUGCUUUGUUCUUGGUGAUGAAGAACUCUUGGCUUGGACGUAGGGGUGAAUGCAGAAGGAAUCUAAGUCUUGAUCUGCAAGACUUGAGAAAAAGUCCCAGUCAAACCUGUGUACUGUUUCCUUCCCUCUAUCCAUUUUUAAUUCUCUUCCCUCCAGGUGCUUAGUGCCUUCCAGCAAAGUCAAGGCCAAUCAGUUCAAAUUAGAGCUUAAUCUUUAUCUAUAAUUCUUUCCAUUUGCAUUUUGGCAGGCCUCUCUCCUUCCUCCAUGGAUCAAUGCUUCAUUCAAAGGAAUGACUUUCUAAUAGUGGAAUCCCUAGUGAUCAGCACCUUGUGAGGGGUGGAAGUGGGGGUAUAAAAUCUUUUCCUGCUUUUCCUUUAACUUUGCCAUAUCAACACGGUGAGGUUAGCUCUAGGUAUAUGUCAGCCAACUGACCACAGGCUAAACUGGGCCAACUGCCUAUCUUUGUACAUCAAGUUUUAUUGGAGAUCACUGCUACUCCCAUUUUCUUAACAUAUUCUUUACGGCUUCUUUCAGCCCUACAAUGGUACAGUUGAAGAGUUGGGACAGAGACUGUAUGGCCCACAAAGCCUGAAAAUAUUUACUCUCUGGUCCAUUACAGAAAAGAUUCGCUCAACCCAGUGUAGAUUCACACGUAUCUUAGAUUUACUGUGAGAAACCUGGGUAUUGUCCAGUCAGAACCUGCUUUGACCCUAUCAAAGGAUAUCUCCUCUGGAAGUACAAGGAAUGAAAAGUGCCCUAUGUCCAGGCAUUUCCAAAAAUAAUAUGGUGCGACUACAAAAUAAAGCCUUUCACAUCCUUUAUCUCUUUUAAGACUCACGAUGACCCCUGGGGUAAAUAUUGCUAACCCGGUUUUGGAGAUAAACUGUGGCUCUGAGAAGUUAAUCAGGUGCCCUGUGUCUAGCAGAGGGUAAAGAGUGCAGGUAGGAUUCAAAUCCUGCUCUAGGAUGUGAUCUUAACCAGUUCUCUCUACCUCAACUGAUGGCAAUUACUCCCAUGAAUUAAGCAUUUAUUAAAUACCAAGUACUAUGGAGUAUGACUUUCUCACAUUUUCUCAUUGAACCUUCAGACCAAUUCCAUCAGACAGACAUUUUCAGCCCUAUUUCCUAUGUGGUCUCCAUAGCUUUUAUAAAGUGUCCCCAAACUACGAAGCACAACAGCAGCGAUCAAUGACGACCCUUCAUAAACCCUUCAGUGCCACGAUGCAAGUCAGGUCUCUUUCCCUUCCCAGCAGUUAAUUCUGUUCAUCCCCGGGGAAUGCAUCGGUUCUGCUACUUUUUUCCGGCCUGGGGGAGCUCAGCCUUCCCCAUCCGUUUCCCCCAUCAGGGCAGCUGGACUUGUCUUGCAGAGUGGCAGGUGGCAGAGGGACUCGGGGUGUCCAAGCGGGAGGUGGGAGUGACAGAAUGGACCAAAGCAUGGUCUGGCUGAAAAGAUGAGAGGAGUGUGGUUUCUCAGCUGCCGGCGUGCUCUGGCUCAGGAAAGACGUCAGCACUGGUGUUUCCAGCUUUCCAGCUUCCCGAUACGUUAGAGCCACUGGGCCACAGAGAAGCACCAUUCCGGGCAACUGCAGCGCCAACACAGCAUGCUCUUGCCUGCUCUCCAGCCCUUCCCAACCCGUCCUGCCUGCCAGGAUGAUUUUAUCUUCUCUCACAUGACUCUGGUGUUAACGCAUUAUACCACCACGGGCUCUUUGGGCCAGAUGCACUAUGAUCAUCCAUUGUCUCUGUAGAAAAUUCAUGGUCAGGCAGCAAGUGGCUAAAAUUGUUAUCUAUCUGCUCCUUCCAAGACCUUCAAGAUACCCAGUUCUGCUGGGGGCGGGGGGUCAAUGAGAAGAACAGAGUGAUUCUGAGGGGCCAUGUGCCCAGCCGUCUGGAUCUCUUGUUCCUUGGCUCCUCCAGGUACUUUAGUUCUUCUGGUUCUACAUUCUCAGUUCUUUCCAUGACUGGCAAUAGGGUGUUUUAUCAUUACCGACUCUAGCAGAAAAGACGGAAAGUGGGGUUUGAGAAACUGCAAUCAAAAAGAAAGCAUCUCCUUGGUUACUGAUUCGACCCUGGAAACUCGGCAGGGGCGGGGGUGGUGGAGGGGGGCGGAACUCUAUCAUGCUUGAGUGUAAGUGCAGCUGGAAUCCCAUCUUUGGCCCUACCUGUCAUGGUCUCUCCUGAACCCCAGAUUUGCACAGGCAAUUGUCUAUGAAAUCUCCACCUGGAGGUCCUUCAACCCAACAGGUUCAAAAGAGAGUGGUUUCAGGUCUCGCCAUCUACCCAGUCUUCCAAGUCAGCCACUUGCCUGUCACCCCUGGCACAUCCUCUUCCAGCCCGUGUACAUCCAUUCCCUUAUUCAGUGUCCCAGCUUGGACCUUCGUCAUCUCCCCUGGACUGUAAUCACCUCCCAGCAUCCCCUCCAGCUUCUAGGAACCUGUAGACUCUUUGUCAAACUAGAGCAGAGGUCAAGAUGUCAGUCAAGACAAUGACUACACAGAGAGACGGAGAACUGGAAACAAAGAUUUGCCCUGCAACUUUCAGUAAAAUGAAAGUUUGAAAACUGACAGGUGUGUGAAGAUGUGAUUCCGAAGAUGUGAACACUUGGGGACUAGCCAGGCAGUCAGCCAGGUAGAUGGAUCAUUUCAGUAGGAUGCUGUCAAGGCUGUAAUACACAGUACAACCUCACAAAAGAGUUCAUAGAUGAAUGCUUACUAUGCACCCAGCACUUGCCUUAUCUCCAGCCAUUAUCAACCCCACUUUAGAGUUCCCAUGGAUUGGGUGACCUGGAACAGGUCUGAAAUGUGGCAGAGCCGAGGAGACAGUCUGAUCCUGGAUGUGAAAAAGUUCAACCAAACCAAACCAAACCAGCCCAACAAAAAUGUACCUUGGCCCAAUUUCUUCUGCUAGUUGCUCUUUCAUGUCUCUGCUCUCUUCUCUACCAAAACCCUUCAAAGGAGUGUCUUUACCCAAAUUUUGCUGCGAUAGAAUCGACAUAUAGCGUUAUAUUAGUGUAAGGUAUAUAAUGCAAUGCUUUAAUACAUUGCAAAAUGAUUAUCACAGUAAGUCUAACAUCCGUCAUCUCACGCAAUUCCAUGUUUUUCUCGUGAUGAGAACUUUUAAGAUCUACUCUCUCAGGAGUUCCCGUCCUGGCUCAAUGGAAGCAAAUCUGACUAGCAUCCACAAGGACACAGGUUCGAUCCCUGGCCUCGCUCACUGGGUUAAGGAUCUGGCGUUGCCAUGAGCUGUGGUGUAUACAGGUCACAGACAUGGCUCGGAUCUGGUGUUGCUGCGGCUGUGGCGUAGGCGAGCAGCUACUGCUUCAAUUCAACCUAUAGCCUGGGAACACUCUAUGUGCCACAGAUGUGGAGCUAAAAAGAUUAAAAGAAAAAAAAAUCUACUCUCUCAGCACCUUUCAAAUAAGCAACCCAGUGCUGUUAACCACCGUCACCAUGCCGUCCAUCACAUCCCCGGGAAUUAACUGUCUUGUAACUGGGAGUUUGUACUUUCUACCGUCUCCACCGAUUUCGCCAUCCCUCACCUUUCACUUCUGGCAAUCUGUCCUGUUUCUGAGUUUGUUUGUUUGUUUUCAAUCCACAUAUAAGUGAGAUUCCAUAGUAUUGGUCUUUCUCUGUCUGGCUUACUUCACUUAGCAUAAUGCCCUCAAGGUCCAUCAAUGCUGUCGCAAGUGACAGGAUUUCCUUCAUUUUUAUGACUGAAUAGUCGUCCGUUUCAUAUAUAUAUAAAAUACAAUAUAUAUACACGCAACUUCUUUAUCCACUCAUCCACUGAUGUUAGAUUGUUCCCACUAUUAUAAAUAAUGUUGCAAUGAACAUGCGACUGUAGAUAUCGCUGAGAGAGUGAUUUCAUUUCCUUCAGAUACACACCCAGGAGGGAACUGCUGGAUUGGAAAGUGCUUCUAUUUUUAACUUCUUGAGGCACCUCCAUCCUGUUUACCAUUUACAGUCCCAUCGACAGGGCACAGGGUUCCCUUUCUUCACAUUCUCACCAAUACUUACAUCUGUCUUUUAUUUAAAACAAAAUUUUUUUUUUGUCCUUUGUCUUUUUAGGGCCAUACCCGCAGCAUAUGGAGGUUCCUGGGCUAGGGGUCAAAUAGGAGCUACAGCUGCUGGCCUACACCACAGCCACAGCAAUGCAGGGUCUGAGGCACGUCUGCGACCUACACCACAGCUCAUGGCAACGCUGGAUCCUUAACCCACUGAGUGAGGCCAGGGAUCGAACCUGCAUCCUCAUGGAUACUCGUCAGGUUCAUUAAGCUCUGAGCCACGACAGGAACUCCAACAUUUGUCUUUUAAAUAAUAGCCAUUUUAGCAGGUGUGAGGUGCUAUCUCAUGGUGGUUUUGGUUUGCAUUUUUCUGAUGAUUAGUGACUCUGAGCCUCAUGUAAUUGCUGGCCAUGUGUAUGUUCCCUCUGGAAAAAUAUCUAAAUAGUUCUUCUGACCAUUUUUUUUAAAAAAUGGAAUUAUUUGGUUUUUUGCUAUUGAGUUGUAUGAGUUCUUCAUAUAUUUUGGAUAUUAACCUCUAAUCAGAUAUAUGAUUUACAAAUAUUUUCUCUCAUUUCAUAGUUUGCCUUUUCAUCUUGUUGAUGAUUUCCUUUGCUCUGCAGAAGAUUUUUGAUUGGAUGUAGUUCUACUUGUUUACUUUUUGCUUUUGUCAAAU
rnacentral:lncRNA from 1 species